GGGGAUUACAUUUAAAAAAAAGUGUGAGUGUGUGUGUGUGUGUGUGUGUGUUAGUGUGUUUGUAUGUGUGUUUGUGUAAGAGUGUGUCAGUGAGUGUGUUACUGUGUGUGUCUGUUACUGAGUGUGUUAGUUUGUGUGCGUCUGUUAGUGAGUGUGUAUGUGUCUCUCUGUCAGUGAGUGUGAAUGUAUGUCUGUCACUGAGUGUGUCUG